AUAUUUUUUAUGUCUUUGUCAGGCUUAAAGCCACUUUUGAGUUUUCUAGCAUAUUUUCCCAGAACACGUCAACUUUAUUUUCAUUUAAAUUGCUUGAGACACAGCAUGAUUGUUGACAUAGUCACUGGCAAUGUUAUUCACAGCUGUGUAUCUCCCUGGAGUCUUUGACUUACUCCCAAGUGUGGAGGAGGUGCUCUGCAUCUGGCCACACCUGCCAUCCUGGAGCCUCCCCAUCCUCGUCCUGGGAAUCCCUUCCCUCUCCCCAGGGUGAGGGCAUCAGCUUCUCAGAUACCACAUCUUUCUUUGAAUUAAUUUAUCAGUUUGGGGGAACUUCAUUAGUUAUCUUCUGGAGAAAAGAAGACAGAUGCCCAGCUGCAAACACUCUAUGGCCCAAGGAGGCAACUGCAAAUCCAAAUAUAAGCUGCUUGGGAGAAAAAAAGGCAACAUCAAGGACUCCCCAGCCAGCAAGAAACUAGAAGCCUCAGUCUCACAGCCACCAGGAACUGAGUUCUGACAACAGCAAAGUAGCCUGAAAGACAGACCCAAGUUCCAGAAAGGAACACAGGCCAGCCAAUACCACUGAGACCCCAGCUGGAGCAACUAGUUCAGCUGUUCCCAGAUAUUUGAUCUGCAGAAACCAUGAGAGAAUAAAUGGUGCUCAUUCAAGCCA
rnacentral:lncRNA from 13 species